rnacentral:lncRNA from 1 species
GUUAACAGAAUGUCCAACGCACGAUUUUUUAUCAAGAGGGAGCACCUUUAAAUAAAAAAAAAGAAAAGAAAAUUAUUUUCUUAAUUACAUAAAAAGAGUCAUUUGUAAUAUAUGUAGAUAUUAGUGAUGUGUUUUUAUUUUAUAUUUACCACUAAAUUUAAUGAAAGAGUUGAUUAGUUUGAUAGGUGGUGACAUAUAAUAAAAUUUUGAAGACAUUUUAGAAUAUUGUGCAAGUCAAUAUAUAUAUAUAUAGAGAGAGAGAGAGAGAGUUCUAGUCCGGGAGUCCCGGA